rnacentral:rRNA from 1 species
UACGUAGGCAGCGAGCGUUGUUCGGAGUUACUGGGCGUAAAGAGUGCGUAGGCGGUUUUCUAAGUUUGGUGUGAAAUCUCCCCGGCUUAACUGGGAGGGUGCGCCGAAAACUGGAAGGCUUGAGUAUGGGAGAGGUAAGCGGAAUUCCUGGUGUAGCGGUGAAAUGCGUAGAUAUCAGGAGGAACACCUGCGGUGUAGACGGCUUACUGGACCAUAACUGACGCUGAGGCACGAAAGCGUGGGUAGCAAACAGG